rnacentral:piRNA from 1 species
UUUUGAGGUUCUUAACAUUGA